AUGGGAGAAUUGGGAUCAUGGGCAAGCGAUGAUGAGCUAGUCAAGAUGGAGGCCGGAUAUCUUCCUCACCGCUGCAGGGAUGACUCAUUUGAAGAUAGCGAGACAAGUGAGCUUCUAAUUUCAAAGCUUUCCAGUCUUGUUGGGGAAAUCUAUCGCGAUUUACCAGAAAAUUUGCAGAAGAAGUUAGGUGAUGAAGUAAGAAGGGCCACAGAACAACCAGCAGAUAACAGUGGACAGGCAAAGGGAUGGAUGUGGGGUACGUUCCUCUCAUCAGUGUGCGUCUCACUGGCCUCUCAUUUGGCCAUGUUCUUGAUGUCUGCUCUGUGGCCCAGGAGCGAGAGUGUCAAAGAAGAACCAGCUGUCAGCUCGCCAGCUCCAAGUGCAACAGAAAAGAACAUUUUUCUUCGUUGGGGGGUUGAAAAAGUCAUAGGUCCUUUUCUUAUAUGUGUCGCUCUGACAGUCAUUAGGAAGUUUAUCAUCAGCAAGGAGAUUUGGAAGAAAAGCUACAAAGCAAAUGAGAUGGUUAAUUUGUGGAUCAAUACCUUCGCAAAAGGGACGUUCUUCGCUGUAAAAGAAUUUCCAGUAACGCGUGGUGGGUUAGAACUGUGGGCUCAUUUAGCCUCAUUUGCUAUUGAGCUUCUUGGGGCCACAUGGCUGUUAUGGAGGUUUGGGUUCUGGGAGUCCGAUGUUGUGGACAGUUGA
rnacentral:rRNA from 1 species